AUUAGAUACCCCACUAUGCUUAGUUAUAAACCUAGAUAUUGUAUUACAAAAACAUCCGCCAGGGCACUACGAGCGAAGCUUUAAACCCAAAGGACUUGGCGGUGCCUCAAACCCACCUAGAGGAGCCUGUUCUAGAACCGAUAAACCCCGUUAAACCUCACCAUCUCUUGUCAAUACCGCCUAUAUACCGCCGUAAUCAGCUUACCCUGUGAAGGCCUAAUAGUAAGCAAAAUGGGUUAUCCCCAAAACGUCAGGUCGAGGUGUAGCGUAUGAGAUGGGAAGAAAUGGGCUACAUUUUCUAUUACAGAACAUCACGAAUAGUGCCAUGAAACAUGCACUUGAAGGAGGAUUUAGCAGUAAAAAACAAACAGAGUGUGUUUUUGAAGAAGGCCAUGAGGCACGCACACACCGCCCGUCACCCUCA
rnacentral:rRNA from 1 species